UCAGCCUUGAAAGAACAAGUUCUGAGAGAGAGUAACAAGAACACAUCUUCUCAGCUGCCUCGGCCUUCGUCAGAUGGACUCUUGUACUCUCGUAUGGGGUCACUCAAGAGACGAUCCUUUUCCGGUCCAAUUACAAAUAAACCAUUACCUAACAAGCCUCUCUCUUCAGCGCCUCGUUUAUACUCAGGUCCAAUCCCAAGGAGUUCAGUUUCCAAGUUACCAAAAGUGUCGACAUCAUCUCCAACUGCUUCUCCUACAUUUGUCUCAACCCCGAAAAUAAGCGAGCUCCAUGAGCUUCCUAGACCACCACCACCAUCAAGCAUCUCUGCUAAGUCCUCGAGGGUAUUUGGAUAUUCAGCACCUUUGGUUUCGAAGAGCCAAUUGCUUAGUAAACCUCUUGUUUCAAGUUCAGCAGCUCCUCUCCCAAUACCACCUGCAAUCACUCGUAGCUUCUCUAUACCUACUAGCAACCUUAGAGCAACAGAGUUAGACAUGUCUAAGACGAGUGUGGGCGCUAAUAAGUUAAGCACUGCCUCGCCUCCUUUAACCCCCAUGUCAUUGAGCCAUCCACCUCCAUCUGCUAUUACCGAGCACGCAGAGCACCUAACGAUAUCCAAACAAGAGGUAACCAUAGAUUCUCUAUACAUUUCUGAACUGUUCAAGUGUUCUGAUAUUUGUUCUAAUGUGUGAGUUGUAGAGGACUUGAAGGUGUAAGCUUAUAGGAGGAGGAAGACAUUCCCUCUAGUUGCAGAUAUGUAAAAUAUCCCUCCUGUUUUGUUCUGACAAUGCUGAAAGAAAAAAAAACGAGAGAGAGUCAAACAGUGAUUGCCAAGUAAUUUUGAUUUUCUAUAAUUAUUCAUAGGUUUAUAACAUUACGAUUAUUUAUUAAAGUCAAUUUAUAAGAUUACUGAAUUUUGAAAUAAUAUAGUUGUUGAAUUGAUUGGUUGCUAAAUAGUCAGAUUCUCCCCAAUUGGUAAUUACCACUUUAGUAAACAUUGAGUAUGUAUGACCCAUAUAAUAAACUUAUAAAUUUCCUUGGACAAGGUUAAGAAAAGCAGUCCCAUAUUGAGCUGAAGAUCGAUCAUUACAUUUUUCAAGGUAAGUGAUGCAGAAAAAAAACGUUGCACGCUAACUUGUGAUCUCACAUGUAUUCCCUUAACACGCUACCAUGUUUCAGUUCUUACCUUCCUCGUUUCAUUGUGUUAUUGUAAAAAAAAGGCCCUUACAAUUGAUCAACAUAUAAGAGGCCUAGGCCCAAAAUAACAGCAAUAAGAAAGUGAACCCAUGCAUCAUACUAAACAAAACGAGAUUAGCUUUCCGGUUACAAUUCCGAAACUAAAAAAACAAGAAAAAAAGAGAGCAACGUGGUAUAUUUGGUUUCGAUGGAGAAGAGAGAGGAGACUCACACAUACAAACACACUUUGAUGUCACUUUCGAUCUGAAACAUCUCUAUCUCUGUUCAGAGAUUCCCUUCUUAGGCCCCAUUGUCUCUCUUUCUCUUAUGUUACGAACCUCUCUUGUACCAGCAAAUACCAUAACAUAUACAGUACUAAAAAAUAUCUUAUUGAAUUAAGAGAAAUUGGUUAUAAUAGCCAUUAAAAACUAUAAACUAAGUAACCAUAGUAAUACAAUGGCGAGAACAUUGUGUGUAUUAUACAUUGUUGUUCUUUUACUAAGAUUUAUUUGUGUAUGGUUCAAUGUAAUACAAAAUUUACAUUGUUAUCUUUUUGUAAACGCCACAUAUUUAUUUUUCUUUGUUUACACCCAUUUUCAAAUCCUUUUUCUUUUAAUGUUACAACACAAUUUCUAUAAAAAAACUAUUAUAGCUAAAAGAAAAUUUACAUUUUCCACAUACAUGGUAACUUAAAUCUUUUAAACACAUACAAAUUCCUCAAAACUUAUGAAACUUUUUAGAAGUAAAAAUGUAUUGUCCUAUUUUAUAUGUUAUAUAUAAUGACAUACCUUCUAAAUACUCUACAGUUCUCUACAGUACAAUAAAAUUGUUUCCUUAUGUCGAAAUCUAUAAUAUAUUACCAAUUUAUAUGGUAAGGUUCAAUCAGGAAAUUUAUAUGUCAACCCUAUAUUCUAUUUUGACAAUGUUGGUUAUGCAAAUGUUUUCAUAGUUCAGUUUAGAUUAUGUGUUUGUCUAAAUUGAUGCAGUUUAUUACAAAAUCUAUUGUAUAACUUUAUAUAGUAUAGUUCGGUAUGGUAUUCUAAUGUAAGGACAUUUCAUCCAAAAUUCAAUCAAUUGAUUGUUACACUACUUUAUGGUUAUUUUCUUAUUUUUUCCGCUAUGGGUACUGAGAGCAAAUUCACCUUUGAAUAAUAUCCUUUCUCAAAACUAAAAAAUCUAUAAUAUUAUUUGGUAUAAAAGCAAAAACAAAAUCAUUUCUUUCUAUGAAAAAAGAAAAGAAAAGAAAAGAACAAAACUGGAUUGGACUGGUUCUGUCGCUUUCCCUUUUUACACUUCCGACAGAUUCCUUUGGCAAUUCUCUCUUCCACAAUUUUCACAAUUUUUUGUUUUAUUUAUUUUUCUGGUUAAACAUAUUUACGGAAAACAUAUCAUUUACCUCCAGACAAUACAUAUAUUUGUCUAUCAAAAUCUCUUAUCUUUUGUAUUUUUGUACAAAUUGAAAACUGUAAUAGUUGUCUUUGCAUGUGUGAGUGUACGUAUGGCCGUAUGGGGCAUAUCAGGGUAUGCGUUUCUUUGACCAGUUUGAUAAUAAAGGUUACAUUUUCAUACAUAUAUUAAUAUAUACGUGAUACGUGAACCUAAUAUCUUAGUUAACCACACUGUAUAAUAUAGCAUGCUUGAUGUUUGUACCUAAUAUGUUAGGUCUAUCAUAUGGUUUUCAGUUUUUCACUAGUCUUGAUGAGUAAAAAAAAUUGUGGAGUAUUUCUUUUUUUUUUGGUAAAAAUGUUAAGAUAUUAUUAUCAAUUUUCAAAUUUUUGACAGAAUUACAAAGACGACAAGAAGCAGAAAACAUAAAAGAAAAAUCUAAACACAGACACGAUCUAAACGCAAUAGGGACCGGACACAACAAACAGGUUGCAAUUCGGAGGCCUCAACUAAUCCGAACCUUCGCUUGCCGCAAAAGGAACGAGCCGCAGUUAAAUCAAGAGAUAGAACCCGGUAAUUUUGGCCUCCCCGAUCAUCUACUCUUUAUGAUAGGCUCGACUAAGAACAGCUCGAAAAGCAAAUAAAAUAAAGAGUCUAUGCUGAAGAUGAAUGCCAACAUUUGUUCAGUUUUUAGAGUUACGUGAGUAUUGUAGGGGAAAAUUUGGAAAUCUGAUUGGUCUCAUGGUGGGAAUACCAUUCCUUAGUUAUUAAAUUAUCUCCUCUUAUAUUUGUUCUUUUGUGCACAAAUUAUCUCCUCUUAUCUAAACUUCCGUUCAUGAUAGCGGGCAAAAAGUAUUUCUAUUCAUGGAACUUUUUUUAGCUUUUCAGGAAUGUUUAUGAAGGCAUGCUUACAAGGCAGAGGGAGAAAGGGAGGUCGAAAGGUGGGAAAGGAGAAAAUUUUUCGGCGCAGCAACUACAACAAGCUCAUGAGGAAUAUGAUAACGAGACAACUUUAUUUGUUUUCCGCUUAAAAUCUCUGAAACAAGGGCAAACACGUAGUCUUUUGACUCAGGCAGCACGGCACCAUGCAGCGCAGGUUUUCUUCCUGAGCCGUGUCCUUGUCCCUCUGUUUCGAUCACCAGAACACCGUGUUGAUGUCCCUUUUGUGUGUGUUUAUGCAGUUAUGCUUCUUCAAGAAGGCUCUUAAUUCCCUUGAAGAAGUAGAGCCGCAUGUACAGAUGGUAACCGAGUCGCAGCAUAUUGAUUACCAUUUCAGUGGAUUGGAAGAUGAUGACGAAAUAGAAAACAAUGAAGAAGAUGAUUCUGAGGUGAAUGAUGAUGGAGAACUGAGUUUUGAGUAUAGAAUGAGUGACAAGGACCAAAAUGCAGAUUCUUCACCUAGUGUCUCCUCACAGGUGAUUUUUCAUAUAUUUACGGUUCUGGUGAUAUAUCCUGUUUAUCCCUUUUGGUGCUUUUGAAGAUUGGUCAUAGGAUAGUGAUACUCUGUAUGCCAAAUACUUGUCCUAAUUGUGACCAACUUAAUGCAUGCAGUUGGGUCAGUCAGACAUCACAUUUCCACUAGUUGCAGGACUAAACACUGCACAGGUAAUAUAAUCUACUUUGGAUCAUAUCUUCUCUACUUUUCCUUUCAGAUGACCCGGAAAAUUUCUCAGGAUGCUCAUUGUUCAAUGAAUUUUUUUAUUCAGCUGGAAAAUAAGGAAGCAAGCUACGGGAGAUCUCGUUCUUACAGGAGAGAUGUUAGGAUUGAGAGCCAAUCAGCACCCCUUUUUGCUGAGAACCGGACAAUGCCUCCUUCAGAGAAGCUCUUACGGAUGCGUUCAUCUCUGACACGGAAGUUCAGCACGUAUGCAUUGCCAACACCUGUGGAAACAGCUAGAAGUCCCUCAUCUAUUACAAUUCUAGCUAACAACAACAUGGCUUCUUCUAAUCCCGCAAAGGCAAUAACAAAAAACAAUUGGUAUUCAUCCCCACUGGAAGCUCGCGGACCCUCAAAGGUUUCUUCUAGACCGAUGUCAGCCUUGAAAGAACAAGUUCUGAGAGAGAGUAACAAGAACACAUCUUCUCAGCUGCCUCGGCCUUCGUCAGAUGGACUCUUGUACUCUCGUAUGGGGUCACUCAAGAGACGAUCCUUUUCCGGUCCAAUUACAAAUAAACCAUUACCUAACAAGCCUCUCUCUUCAGCGCCUCGUUUAUACUCAGGUCCAAUCCCAAGGAGUUCAGUUUCCAAGUUACCAAAAGUGUCGACAUCAUCUCCAACUGCUUCUCCUACAUUUGUCUCAACCCCGAAAAUAAGCGAG
rnacentral:lncRNA from 1 species